rnacentral:rRNA from 1 species
AGAGAUCAUGGCUCAGAAUCAACGCUGGCGGCGUGCCUAACACAUGCAAGUCGAACGCGACUGAGGCUUCGGCCUCAGUUGAGUGGCGAACGGGUGAGUAACACGUGGGUGACCUACCUUCGAGUGGGGGAUAACGUCCCGAAAGGGACGCUAAUACCGCAUAACAUCCUGCCUUUGAACAGGUGGAGAUCAAAGCUGGGGAUCGCAAGACCUGGCGCUUGAUGAGGGGCCCGCGUCCGAUUAGCUAGUUGGUGGGGUAACGGCUCACCAAGGCGACGAUCGGUAACCGGCCUGAGAGGGCGGACGGUCACACUGGGACUGAGACACGGCCCAGACUCCUACGGGAGGCAGCAGUGGGGAAUUGUUCGCAAUGGGCGCAAGCCUGACGACGCAACGCCGCGUGGAGGAUGAAGGUCUUCGGAUUGUAAACUCCUGUUGCCCGGGACGAAAUGCUCCAACCUAAUACGUUGGAGUUUGACGGUACCGGGUGAGGAAGCCCCGGCUAACUCUGUGCCAGCAGCCGCGGUAAUACAGAGGGGGCAAGCGUUGUUCGGAAUUACUGGGCGUAAAGGGCGCGUAGGCGGCCUGCUAAGUCGAACGUGAAAUCCCUGGGCUCAACCCAGGAACUGCGUCCGAUACUGGUUGGCUUGAAUCCGGGAGGGGGAUGCGGAAUUCCAGGUGUAGCGGUGAAAUGCGUAGAUAUCUGGAGGAACACCGGUGGCGAAUGCGGCAUCCUGGACCGGCAUUGACGCUGAGGUUCGAAAGCCAGGGGAGCAAAACGGGAUUAGAUACCCCGGUAGUUCUGGCCCUUAAACGAUGAAUGCUUGGUGUGGCCGGUAUCGAUCCCUGCC